rnacentral:rRNA from 1 species
UUUAUGGAGAGUUUGAUCCUGGCUCAGGAUGAACGCUGGCGGCGUGCCUAAUACAUGCAAGUCGAGCGAACGGACGAGAAGCUUGCUUCUCUGAUGUUAGCGGCGGACGGGUGAGUAACACGUGGAUAACCUACCUAUAAGACUGGGAUAACUUCGGGAAACCGGAGCUAAUACCGGAUAAUAUUUUGAACCGCAUGGUUCAAAAGUGAAAGACGGUCUUGCUGUCACUUAUAGAUGGAUCCGCGCUGCAUUAGCUAGUUGGUAAGGUAACGGCUUACCAAGGCAACGAUGCAUAGCCGACCUGAGAGGGUGAUCGGCCACACUGGAACUGAGACACGGUCCAGACUCCUACGGGAGGCAGCAGUAGGGAAUCUUCCGCAAUGGGCGAAAGCCUGACGGAGCAACGCCGCGUGAGUGAUGAAGGUCUUCGGAUCGUAAAACUCUGUUAUUAGGGAAGAACAUAUGUGUAAGUAACUGUGCACAUCUUGACGGUACCUAAUCAGAAAGCCACGGCUAACUACGUGCCAGCAGCCGCGGUAAUACGUAGGUGGCAAGCGUUAUCCGGAAUUAUUGGGCGUAAAGCGCGCGUAGGCGGUUUUUUAAGUCUGAUGUGAAAGCCCACGGCUCAACCGUGGAGGGUCAUUGGAAACUGGAAAACUUGAGUGCAGAAGAGGAAAGUGGAAUUCCAUGUGUAGCGGUGAAAUGCGCAGAGAUAUGGAGGAACACCAGUGGCGAAGGCGACUUUCUGGUCUGUAACUGACGCUGAUGUGCGAAAGCGUGGGGAUCAAACAGGAUUAGAUACCCUGGUAGUCCACGCCGUAAACGAUGAGUGCUAAGUGUUAGGGGGUUUCCGCCCCUUAGUGCUGCAGCUAACGCAUUAAGCACUCCGCCUGGGGAGUACGACCGCAAGGUUGAAACUCAAAGGAAUUGACGGGGACCCGCACAAGCGGUGGAGCAUGUGGUUUAAUUCGAAGCAACGCGAAGAACCUUACCAAAUCUUGACAUCCUUUGACAACUCUAGAGAUAGAGCCUUCCCCUUCGGGGGACAAAGUGACAGGUGGUGCAUGGUUGUCGUCAGCUCGUGUCGUGAGAUGUUGGGUUAAGUCCCGCAACGAGCGCAACCCUUAAGCUUAGUUGCCAUCAUUAAGUUGGGCACUCUAAGUUGACUGCCGGUGACAAACCGGAGGAAGGUGGGGAUGACGUCAAAUCAUCAUGCCCCUUAUGAUUUGGGCUACACACGUGCUACAAUGGACAAUACAAAGGGCAGCGAAACCGCGAGGUCAAGCAAAUCCCAUAAAGUUGUUCUCAGUUCGGAUUGUAGUCUGCAACUCGACUACAUGAAGCUGGAAUCGCUAGUAAUCGUAGAUCAGCAUGCUACGGUGAAUACGUUCCCGGGUCUUGUACACACC